UACGUAGGCAGCAAGCGUUGCUCGGAGUUACUGGGCGUAAAGGGUGCGUAGUCGGCUUUUUAAGUUUGGUGUGAAAUCUCCCGGCUCAACUGGGAGGGUGCGCCGAAUACUGAGAGGCUAGAGUGUGGAAGGAAAGUGGAAUUCCUGGUGUAGCGGUGAAAUGCGCAGAGAUCGUAAGGAAGACCAGUGGCGAAGGCGAGUCUCUGGACAGAUUCUGACGCUGAGGCACGAAGGCCAGGGGAGCAAACGGG
rnacentral:rRNA from 1 species